CCAGGACAACGGGCGUCGCCGGCGCCGUGUGACUUCGGGCUGUGGGCUCGCUCGCGGCUCUUCGGCCAUGGUUUUCUCAAACAAUGAUGAAGGCCUUAUUAACAAAAAGUUACCCAAAGAACUUCUGUUAAGGCUUGGAACAUCUUAGCCCUGGAUGGAAGCAACUGGCAAAGAAUAGAUCUUUUUAACUUUCAAACAGAUGUAGAGGGUCGAGUGGUGGAAAAUAUCUCGAAGCGAUGCGGUGGAUUCCUGAGGAAGCUCAGCUUGCGAGGCUGCAUUGGUGUUGGGGAUUCCUCCUUGAAGACCUUUGCACAGAAUUGCCGAAACAUUGAACAUUUGAACCUCAAUGGAUGCACAAAAAUCACUGACAGCACGUGUUAUAGCCUUAGCAGAUUCUGUUCCAAGCUGAAACAUCUGGAUCUGACCUCCUGUGUGUCUAUUACAAACAGCUCCUUGAAGGGGAUCAGUGAGGGCUGCCGAAACCUGGAGUACCUGAACCUCUCUUGGUGUGAUCAGAUCACGAAGGAUGGCAUCGAGGCACUGGUGCGAGGUUGUCGAGGCCUGAAAGCCCUGCUCCUGAGGGGCUGCACACAGUUAGAAGAUGAAGCUCUGAAACACAUUCAGAAUUACUGCCAUGAGCUUGUGAGCCUCAACUUGCAGUCCUGCUCACGUAUCACGGAUGAAGGUGUGGUGCAGAUAUGCAGGGGCUGUCACCGGCUGCAGGCUCUCUGCCUUUCGGGUUGCAGCAACCUCACAGAUGCCUCUCUUACAGCUCUGGGUUUGAACUGUCCGCGACUGCAAAUUUUGGAGGCUGCCCGAUGCUCCCAUUUGACUGACGCAGGUUUUACACUUUUAGCUCGGAAUUGCCACGAAUUGGAGAAGAUGGAUCUUGAAGAAUGCAUCCUGAUAACCGACAGCACACUCAUCCAGCUCUCCAUUCACUGUCCUAAACUGCAAGCCCUGAGCCUGUCCCACUGUGAACUCAUCACAGAUGAUGGGAUCCUGCACCUGAGCAACAGCACCUGUGGCCAUGAGAGGCUGCGGGUACUGGAGUUGGACAACUGCCUCCUCAUCACUGAUGUGGCCCUGGAACACCUAGAGAACUGCCGAGGCCUGGAGCGCCUUGAGCUGUACGACUGCCAGCAGGUUACCCGUGCAGGCAUCAAGCGGAUGCGGGCUCAGCUCCCUCAUGUCAAAGUCCACGCCUACUUUGCUCCCGUCACCCCACCGACAGCAGUGGCAGGAAGUGGACAGCGACUGUGCAGGUGCUGUGUCAUUCUCUGACAGCAGCUGCCUGGGCCCAAGGGGUGAUGAGGCAUCCUUUCCUCUAGAAGACCUGAGUCUUCCUGACCUACUCCACCAUCACCCCAUCUGUUGAUUCUCCAUUGGGAAAGGCAUUUACAGGUAAAAGACUUCUGUAUGGAUUGCAGUUACUCUGGUGAUAGUUUUCACCUUUAUUCUGCUGUGAAACAAUCAAAUCAAAGCCUUGUGUCAGUUAACACGUGACAAGUGGUCUCAAUGCAGCUAGGACCAUGCCAGAAACCUGGAUCUCUUAAGAGAUUGGUACUCCUAGGUACAAAAGUUCUACCCUUGGCAUUAUCAGCAUUCCUCAAAAAGACCAUCAGUGUUAGCACAAACUGAGCAGAAAAAAUAAGCUGUUGAUUUUCUACCUGAUACUUAAGCCAGUGGCCUACUUUAAUUCACAAUUCCAUUUUGAUUAGCAGGACUUUUCCACUUUGAAGAUAAAAUAGCAACUUUAUCAAAGUGACUAUACUGCAAAUUCAUAAUGCCUGAUAGUUUUAUAUGUAGAGACUUAUGUGGAAGGCAUGUUAAUAGGUUUCCAUGAGACACCAAAGAAAAGAGGACUCUAUACUGGGUGGAGCAGGGUCUUCACCUUUUUGUUUCUGUCAACUUGUCAUAUACACCUCUAGGGACCAAAAACAAAAGCAGCUGAGUCUGUGUUGCCUGAUUGGAAAGUAGAAGCUCUGGUGUAUGCUACAGCACAUAAUGCAUUUUUAUUAAAGGAAAAAAGCUAAUUAUGUCCAUGCCUCUCAUAAAACUGGGGGGGAACCUUAAAGAGAAAGAACUAAGGCUUAAGUUAUGUGUAGUAUAAUCAAUUAGAAGUAAUGAAUGGAUGCAUGUAAAA
rnacentral:sRNA from 1 species